GCGGAUCGACCUCGCACUAACUUUUUUGAUGAAAACGACACUAGGCCUAAGGUUUGGGUUCGCGUUCCAUACCUUGGUAAACAAGGUGAAACUUUAGUUAAAAGUUGCAUAAAGAAAAUACAAAGAUGCCUAACUGUUCCUGUAAAUUUUAUAGUUGUUUAUGACAACAAAAAGUUUUCUUAUUUCCUUUCCAACAAAGACAAAAUUCCGAAUCUUUCGAAAUCUAAUGUAGUUUAUGAGGUGACAUGUCCUGGCUGUUUCGCAACGUAUAUUGGGAAAACAGAAAGACGUUUACAGACGCGACUCGCUGAACAUACCAAUCCGACCAAAAGUGCUAUUGGACAGCAUUUUCACAACUGCGAACAUGUGCAAUACAUUGUAAACCUUCACUUUGUUUUUGACAAACUUAACAACCCAACUGACGCUGACAAUAACGUUUCCACUUUUAUUUCCAACUUAAUAUCUGACAACUCUCGAAUUCUUCACACUAUUUAUUCUCGCACACCUAACUUACUCUUGUUGCUUGAAGCUCUAUAUAUCAAGUAUCAUUCACCCAGUUUAAAUACUGGACUCAAAGCCAGUAAAGAACUCAAGCUUUUUUCUUAAUCUAUACACCCACAUUUCAUCACACUUACAUCUCACUGCAACUGUCGUGGUUCUGAUUGAGACUUCCGUUAAGCUGUCAUCAUGCCUUGCCAACUUGUAUAUAAGACCAUGUGUAUAUUGUAACUUUAGUUGGUCUGAUAAUGAUUUUGUAAUAAAAUCGAAAUAUUACUCACUCACUUUCUUGUUUGACUCAUAUUUUGGGUUUCAAGAUGCUUAUCUUCGGAUUAUGUUUUGUAUUAUAUUUUUUGAAAUUGUCGGCUGGUAUUGGUUUUUUAUUAGACUGAAAUAAGCAAGAUUUCCCGUUACAUACAUGAUUUAUACCGAGGCGGCUUUGCAUGUGCU